rnacentral:rRNA from 1 species
AUACCGGGCCUUUUUGGGCUUGGUAAUUGGAAUGAGGGAGAGUUAAACGGACCAUCGAGUAUCCAUUGGAGGGCAAGUCUGGUGCCAGCAGCUGCGGUAAUACCAGCUCCAAUAGCGUAUAUUAAAGUUGUUGCAGUUAAAAAGCUCGUAGUUGGACUUGUGUGCGCUGUCCGCGGGUGGCCUGCGCCCAAAAGGGCGUUUCGGUUCGGCCCCGGUGGCGCCUUGAAAUCUGCAGCUGGGGGGACGUUGGCCUUAACUGGUCGGCGACCGCACGCCGGCUGCUCGGUUACUGUGAGAAAAUUAGAGUGUUCAAGGCAGGCAUUGGGUGCAAUUGAAUACAUUAGCAUGGAAUAAUAAAAUAUGGCUCCUGCCGUACUUUGUUGGUUUUGACUGGUGGGAGUAAUGAUUGAUAGGGACGGUUGGGGGUGCUAGUAUUGAGCGGCCAGAGGUGAAAUUCAUGGAUUCGCUCAAGACUAACUUAUGCGAAAGCAUUCACCAAGGACGUCCUCUUUAAUCAAGAACGAAAGUUGGGGGAUCGAAGACGAUCAGAUACCGUCGUAGUCUCAACCAUAAACUAUGUCGACUUGGGAUCGGCGGUAGUUUUUUCAUUAAGACACUGUCGGGACCACGGGAGAAAUCAAAGUGUCUGGACUCUGGGGGAAGUAUGGUCGCAAGGCUAAAACUUGAAGGAAUUGACGGAAGGGCACCACCAGGAGUGGAGCCUGCGGCUUAAUUUGACCCAACACGGGGAAACUUACCAGGUCCAGAGAUGUAGAGGAUUGACAGAUUGAAGCUCUUUCUUGAUCACUUCGGUGGUGGUGCAUGGCCGUUCUUAGUUGGUGGAGUGAUUUGUCUGGUUAAUUCCGUUAACGAACGAGACCUCAGCCUGCUAGUGUAGUCGGCUGGAUUGCCUUUGGCGAUCCGUGAUUUCGACUUCUUAGAGGGACAAUCGACGCGCAGUCGAUGGAAGUUUGAGGCAAUAACAGGUCUGUGAUGCCCUUAGAUGCUCUGGGCCGCACGCGCGCUACACUGCUGGGCUCAGCGAGUAUUACUUGGCCGAGAGGCCCGGUUAAUCUUGUGAAAUCCCAGCGUGCUUGGGCUCGCCUCCUGCAACUGGAGGCGCCAACGAGGAAUUCCUAGUAGACGCAGGUCAUCAACCUGCAUCGAUUACGUCCCUGCCCUUUGUACACACCGCCCGUCGUUCCAUAAGAGUGAGGCAUCCGGUGAAUUCUCGGGAGAGCCUGGGCGUGGCCAGCAAUGGUCUGCUCGGGUUUGAACUUGCAUAAACGUGGUGCCUAUGAUUAGGGAAAAGUCGUAACAAGGU